rnacentral:rRNA from 1 species
CAACCUGCCCUUCAGAGGGGGACAACAGUUGGAAACGACUGCUAAUACCGCAUACGAUCUAAUCUCGGCAUCGAGGAUGGAUGAAAGGUGGCCUCUAUUUAUAAGCUAUCACUGAAGGAGGGGAUUGCGUCUGAUUAGCUAGUUGGUGAGGUAACGGCCCACCAAGGCGACGAUCGGUAGCCGGACUGAGAGGUUGAACGGCCACAUUGGGACUGGGACACGGCCCAG